UACGUAGGGUGCAAGGCGUUGCCCGGAUUUAUUGGGCGUAAAGGGCGCGUAGGCGGCUCGGCACGUCCGUUGUGAAAUCGCCCGGCUCAACUGGGCGGGGUCAGCGGAUACGGCCGAGCUUGAGCAAGCUAGGGGGCAAUGGAAUUCCCGGUGUAGUGGUGGAAUGCGUAGAUAUCGGGAGGAACACCGGUGGCGAAGGCGGUUCUCUGGGCCUUACCUGACGCUGAGGAGCGAAAGCGUGGGGAGCGAACAGG
rnacentral:rRNA from 1 species